rnacentral:tRNA from 1 species
GAAAUAUCUAAAUUAAACUUCUAAUUUAAUAAAAAGCGUAAUCGUUUAUAUUUCU